rnacentral:rRNA from 1 species
CAUGCAAGUCGAACGAUGAUCCGGUGCUUGCACCGGUGAUUAGUGGCGAACGGGUGAGUAACACGUGAGUAACCUGCCCUUGACUCUGGGAUAAGCCUGGGAAACUGGGUCUAAUACCGGAUAUGACCUUCCAUCGCAUGGUGGUUGGUGGAAAGCUUUUGUGGUUUAGGAUGGACUCGCGGCCUAUCAGCUUGUUGGUGAGGUAAUGGCUUACCAAGGCGACGACGGGUAGCCGGCCUGAGAGGGUGACCGGCCACACUGGGACUGAGACACGGCCCAGACUCCUACGGGAGGCAGCAGUGGGGAAUAUUGCACAAUGGGCGCAAGCCUGAUGCAGCGACGCCGCGUGAGGGAUGACGGCCUUCGGGUUGUAAACCUCUUUCAGUAGGGAAGAAGCGAAAGUGACGGUACCUGCAGAAGAAGCGCCGGCUAACUACGUGCCAGCAGCCGCGGUAAUACGUAGGGCGCAAGCGUUAUCCGGAAUUAUUGGGCGUAAAGUGCUCGUAGGCGGUUUGUCGCGUCUGCCGUGAAAGUCCGGGGCUCAACUCCGGAUCUGCGGUGGGUACGGGCAGACUAGAGUGAUGUAGGGGAGACUGGAAUUCCUGGUGUAGCGGUGAAAUGCGCAGAUAUCAGGAGGAACACCGAUGGCGAAGGCAGGUCUCUGGGCAUUAACUGACGCUGAGGAGC